UCAGCUUUCUGGAAGAACUUGAGCUAGCACUGGGCAACCUUAAUGCUGUGUUAACAAAGCUAGUGGCCAUUUAAUAUGACAUGUUUAGUAGUGCACUGCAAUGCUAUGGGACAGUUUAAAACAGGAAGCCAUGAAGAAUACUAUAACCAGUUGAAACAGUAAGGGAAUCUGGGAAGGAAGAAGGUAAUUAUCUGAGCUGGAAUUUGGAGUGGAAAUCCCAGUGGUAUAACUGUAAAAUGUAGAAACAGUUUCUGUUACUUCAUCAAGUCACAAGCGAGAUGCCCUCAGUGAAUCUUUUGAUGCCCACAGAUGGAUAUAAAGCUGAAUCACUGGGGCUGAUGUUGGCAUUAAGAGAGCGCUAGUAAGUCAUGGCUGAAGAAGAGGAACUUGCAGUAGACAGCGCUAAGAGUGCGCAAGGCAAUGUCAAUGUGGGAUCCUUGGAAUUGGGGCCCAGUGAUCUGAGGGGGCCUGAAAUGACAGACUUGGUGAGAAAUCAAGAGCCUCACUCAGAAGAAAAUAUUGAGGAUUCCAUGAGAGGAAGGAAACAGUGAGGAAGAGUCCAUUGGAAGGCGUGAGGAGAAGGAGAUCAAGUUGAUGAGAUCCUGGCGGCUGCAUGAUGUACUGCAGCAUCUCGCUGGAAGAAGACAGAACAACCUGAUUUUCAAGACAUAAAUGGCCAGCGUAUGGGAUACACUAGAAACGUGUGAAAUGACCAUGAAUGGGAGACUCUGAAGGCUGCCACUGGAGUCCUCGAUACACCACGUGUGGCUCUCCUGUACCAAUGCAGAACCAGCUGUAGGCUGCUAGCUGGGAAAUUGGCUGAGUCCCUUCAGCUCCAUUGAUGGAGGUACAAAAGUGAUGGCAACACUUGCACUUGUGGAGUGGAUCUGGGUGAGGAUUGGAGAUCUGAUGGUGAUGGAAGCACUGAUAAUGUUAAAGAUCUCUCCUGGAUCAGAUGGAGGAGCCUCAGUACCAGCUGGGUCCCUUCCAAUGCCAUUUGAAAUGUAGUACAAGACAAUUAUAACCCGCCCCGUGCCUGCAUAGCAGAACUGUGACUGUGUUGCUUGCUUUGGGACAGGAUCUAACCCAGAAAAAAUGACAAAGGACAAGUUGACUCCGUGCUAAAUGUGCUGGUGAACUCACUCUUCUGAAGAAACUUAAAGCUUGUGUGUAAAUGUGGCUAUUAAUAGUCUGGGAAAGAUCUGAUGGCAAUUGUUCAUCAUAGUGCAUUAGAAGCCUGGUUUCAGACUAUUGUCUCAUCAGCCUGUGAAAAUGGACCCCAGCUUUGGAGACAUGAUGAUUAAUGCACAGAAACGAUGUUCAAGAUUAAAUUAUGUCAUGAAUACAAGUAUGUUUAAUCAAAAUAAUAUCUGGUCGCUGCCAGAGCCAUAGGUUUAGCAGGAUUCUCUGCCUUACGUUAUAAAAUAAAAUGGGAAUAUUUAUUUGAUUUUCAUUUAAAACUUAAAAUAUGACUAUUUGGAAAUACUGAGUGGAAUUUUCUCUUCCUC